rnacentral:lncRNA from 1 species
CCCAAAGCAAAAGAAUAACCUCUUUUAUGCUGGGAGUUCUCUUCAGUGACAAUCCAUUCCUUGCCCAUGGGAUGAAAACACAUUAUGUAAUUAACCAGAUAAAAUGGGAAUUUUAAAUUCAGCAUGGAAUGGAAGGCAAAGCAUGGGCUAGAAAAAUAGCAGAUGACUUGGGAAACAGCAGUGUGCUUUUUUCUUCAUUGUAAUCUAAAUGAAGAUGAUCUGUGGUGGACUAGAGCAAUGAAGAGAGGCAGGCCCAUGGCAAACUCCAGCUGUUGAAGGGAGAAAGAAGUGAACUUCAGGAAACCUAGGAACUGGUACAGACUGUACAGCCUCAUCUCUGAUUGCUUCUGGUGUUGAAGAGGGGCUGAGGUCAAAGAGGAGAUGGGAACAUUUUGUUAUUUUAUUACUCCUGUGAAAAAUUCCCCAAUACCUGUCUGAAGUUACGCUCUGCUUGUGUGUACUACUGUCACAUUGUAGCUCAGGCAACAGGGGACCUACAGACAGUGGGAUAUGCUAUUUCACCCCUUUGAUCCUUUUGUUUUGUUUUGCUUUGCUCAUCCAUCCCUUAGAGAUCUCUUUCCAUUCCCUCCACCCUCUUGCAUGUAAAGCUUUGCU